rnacentral:rRNA from 1 species
CUCGUAGGCGGCUUUGCAAGUCAGAUGUGAAAUCUAUGGGCUCAACCCAUAGCCUGCAUUUGAAACUGCAGAGCUUGAGUGAAGUAGAGGCAGGCGGAAUUCCCCGUGUAGCGGUGAAAUGCGUAGAGAUGGGGAGGAACACCAGUGGCGAAGGCGGCCUGCUGGGCUUUAACUGACGCUGAGGCACGAAAGCGUGGGUAGCAAACA